CCUACGGGUGGCAGCAGUCGAGAAUCAUUCACAAUGGGGGAAACCCUGAUGGUGCGACGCCGCGUGGGGGAAUGAAGGUCUUCGGAUUGUAAACCACUGUCAUGUGGGAGCAAAUUAAAAAGAUAGUACCACAAGAGGAAGAGACGGCUAACUCUGUGCCAGCAGCCGCGGUAAUACAGAGGUCUCAAGCGUUGUUCGGAAUCACUGGGCGUAAAGCGUGCGUAGGCUGUUUCGUAAGUCGUGUGUGAAAGGCGCGGGCUCAACCCGCGGACGGCACAUGAUACUGCGAGACUAGAGUAAGGGAGGGGGAAGCGGAAGGAUCGGUGUAGAAGGGAAAUGCGUAGAUAUCGAGAGGAACACUCGUGGCGAAGGCGGGUUCCUGGACAUUAACUGACGCUGAGGCACGAAGGCCAGGGGAGCGAAAGGGAUUAGAUACCCUUGUAGUC
rnacentral:rRNA from 1 species